GCAAGCUGUGGCUUUAAAAAAACCCACCCAGUAGUGAUUUGAGGUUUUCUUCUUGAAGCCUUCCUGACUUUGAACAUAAAUUGCAUCUGUUUUGGUAAGCAGGCUACCAGCAAGCCAGACCUGUUCCUGGGAUUACUGUGACCACAGCUACUUCUGCCCUCCUGGCUGUUUGUGGCAGCCAGAGAGCACCUGAUUCUUGUAUCCCAGACCUUAAACCACAGCCUGGCAGCCUCCAAGGGAUCCUCCCUGCUUGGGGUGCUGUUUGUGGGACUGCUGGUGGCUCUGGAUCCCAAGGGGCGUUCCCAUCCCAUCACCACCGGCUGCCAGCAUCGGGAUCACGGCCACCCAGGGAGUUGGACAUCACGGAGCUGGACACACACCAGGGAGCCGACUCGCUUCUGACACCGAGCUCAGUCUCCAAACAUAAAAGAAGAGAAAGUCAGGACAGAAAAGCAUUGGAGCUUUCUUCUUCCUCCACACCUGCUGUUCCUGGUCGUCAGGCACUUCCAAAGAGGAGAGUUCUCCAAGUUCCCAGUCAUUACCCUUUACAUAAGCAUAAUAUAGUGCUGCACUUCCUACAGGGAAGCUAUCUAUUGUAGCAAUCUGUAAAACAAAAGCUGGAUUGCUCCUUCUCCCAUUGCUCCCAGAAUCAAAAAGCUGCCUGCUGUUCCUCAAAUGGGAAGGCUGAAAGCCUUCAUCAGAGGGUAGUUCAUUUUUACACGACAUUUUUACACUCAAGCAAAACUGAAAGCAAGGCAUAAUUUGAAACAGCCAUGCUCGCCGUUAGAGCAGAACCACACAAAUAAAAUGCCUGGGAUGAUGGAGUUGAAUAUGUUGCAGUCAGAAAAAUGACAGCUUGCAGGGAACGAGGAAAACUAGAUGGAUGAAUGGGAAUUAGUGAGGAGCAGACUUCCAAGGCAGACAAAUCAAAUUGAGAGCGUGGAUCAUUAGAUUCAAAGGAAGCAGGUAAGGAGUGCACUAAAUUGUACCUUAAACAACAAACCGUGGGCCCCAGCCUCCAGGGAGAGGGGAUGGAACAGGGCUGGGGAUAUGGGAGUGGCUCCCAGGUGUGUCCUGGCCACUGGCAUUGUGACCUCACCCAGGUCACUGUGUCCUUCACAUCAGCUCCUGUGCUGUGGGGCAUGGCAGGCACUGGACAUAGAGGAUGCUUUGAAGAUCUGCAGAUGUGCCCAGCUCCAGAGGAGACAGCUGAAGCCUUUCUGGAUGGCCUGUCCUGUCACCUGUCACCUUUCAGGGCUGUCACUGAUAUCCAUUGUAUGGAGCUGGCUCUUUGCCUGUUUUUUUUUUUUUUUUCCCAGAAAAAAAAAGGUGAAGAGAUAUACAAAGGGAGAAAUUACUGUGUUGUUGAAUUUUUCAAAAUUAACUGUGCACAAUUAUACCCAAGGAAGUGGGCUGGAAGAAAGACACUUCACAUACAGCAGCUCUUUGCAGAUGUGAGAAAAUGUGGCAUGGUUUGGACCUGCCAGGAAACAGCUGAGCUGGGGGAAUUUGUGUAUUUUAAAAAUAAAGCUCAUGCUUUUCUUGGACAAACUUUCAGGUCACUGUAACACAGAACCGAAGGUCACAAUUUCUAAGAAGAUUAUGAAAUGCCCCAGAUGCUCAGUGUGACAGUCUAGACAAGGCAGCCAAGGGAGAAAUGCUGAAGGAAGUUCCUGGGAUUGGUACAGGAAAGGAGAGCCCGCAGGAUGGAAAACUCCACACAGAGCUUCCCUUGGUGCUCCUGCCUGGACACUCUGCAGAGACUGGUCCCAGCUGAGUCCUGCUCAAGGAUAAAACUCAUGGUCACAGGGGAACUACUCCCAUUGGAAUCCCAUCUGGCUGAUUCCUCCAUUUCAGCUGAGGUGGAAGUGUCACUGGAUCUCACAGAGAUGUGUGAAUGGAAUGAUAAGGAAAGCUCUCCAGCAGGAGCUGAAAAGCACCACCCUUGCUGGGAGUAUAAGCCAACAGAUGCUUUACAAAAGCAAAAGUGAUCUGAUCAUUCCCACAAGAACCAUAGAAUCAUAAAACUGUGGAAUGGUUUGGGUUGGAAGGAACCUUAAAGCCCAUCCAGUCCCACCCC